CUCAACUGUGGGUAAGCGAUGGAAACUGUAGGACUGGAGUGCGGUAGGGGCAGAGGGAAUUCCCAGUGUAGCGGUGAAAUGCGUAGAUAUUGGGAAGAACACCAGUGGCGAAGGCGCUCUACUGGGCCGUAACUGACGCUGAGGGACGAAAGCUAGGGGAGCGAAAGGGAUUAGAUACCCCUGUAGUCCUAGCUGUAAACGAUGGAUACUAGGUGUUGGACGUAUCGACCCGUUCAGUACCGCAGCCAACGCGAUAAGUAUCCCGCCUGGGGAGUACGCACGCAAGUGUGAAACUCAAAGGAAUUGACGGGGGCCCGCACAAGCGGUGGAGUAUGUGGUUUAAUUCGAUGCAACGCGAAGAACCUUACCAGGGCUUGACAUCCCUCGAAUCCUCUUGAAAGAGAGGAGUGCCUUCGGGAGCGAGGAGACAGGUGGUGCAUGGCUGUCGUCAGCUCGUGUCGUGAGAUGUUGGGUUAAGUCCCGCAACGAGCGCAACCCACGUCCUUAGUUGCCAUCAUUAAGUUGGGCACUCUGGGGAGACUGCCGGGGACAACUCGGAGGAAGGUGUGGAUGACGUCAAGUCAUCAUGCCCCUUACGUUCUGGGCUACACACGUACUACAAUGCUUCGGACAAAGAGCAGCCAACUAGCGAUAGUGAGCUAAUCUCAUAAACCGAGGCACAGUUCAGAUUGCAGGCUGCAACUCGCCUGCAUGAAGGAGGAAUCGCUAGUAAUCGCCGGUCAGCAUACGGCGGUGAAUACGUUCCCGGGCCUUGUACACACCGCCCGUCACACCAUGGGAGUUGGCCACA
rnacentral:rRNA from 1 species